CCACCUUCACAGCCAUUUCAUUCCACAUAUUUAAACCAAUUUACAUCCAAAUUCUCUCAUCUAGCAAUGACGGCUAUGCUUAUGAAGGUGUCAUGCGCAGUGGUCUUGCUGGUGGUUUACAUGGGGUUGCUGACGCCGGAGGUGGAAGCUGUGACAUGUGGUCAGGUGGUGGGCGCCGUGGCACCAUGCCUUGGCUACCUAAGGAACGGCGGAACUCCUCCACAGCCGUGCUGUACUGGAGUUAGAGGGCUUAGGAAUGCGGCUAGAACCACCAGUGACCGUAAGACCAUUUGCAAUUGCCUGAAGAGUGCUUCUUCGUCUUACCGUGGUGUUAGUGGUAAUUACGCCGCUAGUCUCCCCGGAAAAUGUGGUGUCAACUUACCCUACAAGAUCAGCCCCUCCACCGACUGCAAUAGGUACAACUUGUUGCUUCAUUUUCAUUAUCUACCCUAAUAAAUAAGAAUAAUUUUGCUACAUGUCUUUCUCUUGUUUAAUUAGGCACAUAUCAUUUUGUCCUAAUUUUGAGAUAUAUUUAUUUUUCAUUCUCAAUAUAUCAUUAAUUUAGUUUCCAUAAAUUAAACAUACCAUAAUGAC
rnacentral:lncRNA from 1 species